UACGUAGGGGGCUAGCGUUGUCCGGAAUCAUUGGGCGUAAAGGGCGCGUAGGCGGGCUCGCCAGUCAGGGGUGAAAGCCCACGGCUCAACCGUGGAAGUGCCUUUGAUACUGCGAGUCUCGAGGGAGGUAGGGGCGUGCGGAACUUCCGGUGGAGCGGUGAAAUGCGUAGAUAUCGUUUGGAACGCCAAUGGUGAAAACAGGUUGCUGGGGGUGUGCUGACGCUGAGACACGAAAGCCAGGGGAGCAAACGGG
rnacentral:rRNA from 1 species